rnacentral:rRNA from 1 species
UACGGAGGGUGCAAGCAUUAAUCGGAUUUAUUGGGCGUAAAGGGCGCGUAGGCUGGAGAAUAAGUUGGAUGUGAAAUCCCGGGGCUCAACCCCGGACACGCAUCUGAAACUGUUUUUCUAGAGGAUAGAAGGAGGAAACGGAAUUCCACAAGUAGCGGUGAAAUGCGUAGAUAUGUGGAAGAACACCCGUGGCGAAGGCGGUUUCCUAUUUUAUACCUGACGCUGAGGCGCGAAAGCAAGGGGAUCAAACAGG